CGACUUUUUUUCAGCAUACUGCGCUCCGUAUGUCAAUAACAAUAACACACUGAAAAAGAAGGGGAAAUAACCAAAUGAAGUACACAUACCAACGUGUACCUGAUGACUUGAAUGGAAAAGCUAAUGCGACACAAAAUUCGCUACGAAUCUGGAUUUAGAGACAUGCCACAAGAGGCCCAAUGAACGUCACUUUUUAGAAGUUCAUCUUAAGACAUUAAAUAAAAUAAACAUGGCACGGUUUCUUGCUCCCCUUUACACAGUAAGAUAAAACAGGCCCACAAUGACAACAUUAAAGACCCCCUACUCCACAGUUUGCAAUAGUCCCAGCUAUCACCCUCAACAGUACCUGACCCCUAUCACAAACUUACUGAAUGUUAUUAUAAACUACUACCCUUGUACCUAAAUCUUACUUCGUCUCUUUGGUACCCUUUCAGUGUAAGUGCUACUUUCCUGCAGUGUACGUAACCCGAUUGCCACCCGCUACGUCACUUCUGGUUGCGUCGUUUUGGAGGGCGCAGGGAAUGGUAGUUUAUAUGCUGGUGCUUAGAACAGCAAAGGGGCUUACGGGAGGGCUUGGUACAUUUUUGAUAAUCGAGCCGAGAUGCAACUGCUCAAUUGGGGACUGUCCUGGGUGAAAAUAGACAGGCGGCAUAGCUCUUCAUCUCCAGAAUCAGAUGCCCCCAGAGGAAGACAUUUAAGAAAACGAAGAGGAAGGCAAGCUUACAGUGGUCCACAGACGAGAUGUUGGUCGAGACACCAGUGGAAUUGAACUUGGAACAUGCAAUGGGAUCUUUCAGUUCACCAGAGCGACACCAACUCAAGCAGAUGUAAAGUCAGUUUAAUGCCUCACCCUAAGUACCCCAGUCACAGUGCUAUACUAAUGUGAUAUUGUUUGAAGCAGUUAAUUUGUAGAUGGAACCCACAACCUUCUGAGCUCCCCAGCAUCAAAGGCAAGUACUAUACCUGUUGAAUCACUGACACUUAUUAACUUAUUCAGAGUAUGCAGUCACAGCAUUAUUGUAAGUAUCAAGGCAGAACAUGAUACUGCGUCUAAUGCUGGGGAUCCUUUUCUCAUUCCAUUUAUCCAUAUUUCACAUUGCCUUGCACUUUGAUAGCGUAAUGCUGCAUUUUGCAUAAAUUUUUGCUAGUAUGUCUGUCAAAAGUAUCACAUUCAUUUGACAUCAUCAGAAUUCCCAAUUUAACAUUGAAAGAAUUUGUCAGACAGUAACUUACACUUUUUAAUCAGAGAUCCUUGAUAGUUAGUAAUGAGUUCCAUAAAUAAGCAUU